UGCAAUGGGCGAAGCCUGAUGCAGCGACGCCGCGUGAGGGAUGACGGCCUUCGGGUUGUAAACCUCUUUCAGCAGGGAAGAAGCGCAAGUGACGGUACCUGCAGAAGAAGCGCCGGCUAACUACGUGCCAGCAGCCGCGGUAAUACGUAGGGCGCGAGCGUUGUCCGGAAUUAUUGGGCGUAAAGAGCUCGUAGGCGGCUUGUCGCGUCGGUUGUGAAAGCCCGGGGCUUAACCCCGGGUCUGCAGUCGAUACGGGCAGGCUAGAGUUCGGUAGGGGAGAUCGGAAUUCCUGGUGUAGCGGUGAAAUGCGCAAAUAUCAGGAGGAACACCGGUGGCGAAGGCGGAUCUCUGGGCCGAUACUGACGCUGAGGAGCGAAAGCGUGGGGAGCGAACAGGAUUAGAUACCCUGGUAGUCCACGCCGUAAACGGUGGGCACUAGGUGUGGGCGACAUUCCACGUCGUCCGUGCCGCAGCUAACGCAUUAAGUGCCCCGCCUGGGGAGUACGGCCGCAAGGCUAAAACUCAAAUGAAAAUUGACGG
rnacentral:rRNA from 1 species